rnacentral:rRNA from 1 species
GAUGAACGCUAGCGGCAGGCCUAAUGCAUGCAAGUCGAACGGUGUCUUCGGACAUAGAGGCGCACGGGUGCGUAACACGUAUGCAACCUACCUUACAUUGGGGGAUAGCCUUUCGAAAGGGAGAUUAAUACCGCAUAAGACAGUAGCUGGGCAUCCAGCAGCUGUUAAAGAUUUAUCGAUGUAAGCUGGGCAUGCGUCCAAUUAGCUAGUUGGUGAGGUAACGGCUCACCAAGGCAAUGAUUGGUAGGGGAACUGAGAGGUCAAUCCCCCACACUGGCACUGAGAUACGGGCCAGACUCCUCCGGGAGGCAGCAGUAGGGAAUAUUGGGCAAUGGACGAAAGUCUGACCCAGCCAUGCCGCGUGCAGGAUGAAGGCGUUAUGCGUUGUAAACUGCUUUUAUACAGGAAGAAACGACUCUUGCGAGAGGCAUUGACGGUACUGUAUGAAUAAGCACCGGCUAACUCCGUGCCAGCAGCCGCCGUAAUAC